rnacentral:lncRNA from 1 species
AUUCUUGUAUCUUCUAGCAUAUUUCAGUCAAGAUGGCAUCAAUUUUGUACCCCUACAAAUAUGAACAAUGAAAACCAAAAUUAAAAAACAACACAUAGCACUAUCUUCAUUAGAGUAAAAAUUUAGAACUUACAAGUUAAAAUUAACUAAUUCUUUAAGAAUCUAUUCUCAAAGUUUAACACUAGCCAAUCAAGAAUGUAAAUUAUCAAGAAUUAAUAAUUCAAUAUAUAAACUCGGGCUAAUUAAUCAUAAUUCAAUUCAUUAAAUUUACAUAAGUAUCAAUUGACAAACAAUCACUACAAAACACAAUUUUACCAAAAUCCUCAUAACAAAUAUACUUGACUUUUUUUUAUGCUUUUACACUCAUAAAGUUUCAUAAUACGGUUUAUGUCAAAACACAAAAUAAGAACAUUACAACAAUUAUCCUAAUAAAAAUUCAAACCUGAAAAGAGAAAAUUCCAAAGCAGCAAAUUAUGCAAAUUAUGCAUAAACUUAAAAUAGCAACAAGUGAUCCUUUGAAACAAUCCAAUAUGGUUGACUUUUCUCAUAAUUGUAGAUUGUACAGUAUAAGCAGCAAGUAUCAAUGAGUCUUAUUAUACUUUUAAUUACAGAGAGGUGCUAAACUCUCAUUUAUCAAAACAAAACUCUAAACCAAUAGCAUCUAAGCAAUUAAUUAGAGUUCUGAAUUCUAAUAAGAUUCUAAUAUACAUUUGAAUGAAGACAUUUGGAUAGAAUAUUUGGGUGAACUUUUGAAUUUGAUAAAUUUCUUCAAAGUAGCUAAAAUCUAACCAAAUCCUAACAAUAAUAGUAAGUACUUGCAAGGAUUACUAAGUAGUAGCCACUUGAGAAUCUAACAUAGCGUUUGAUAGCUGGCCUACAUGUAAAAUACCCCGUCCAAUAGCCCAUUUUCCAUGUCGGCAUACCUAACACAUUCAUGGCACAAAUAUCAAACAACAAGUUGGAAGGAAUGAUUUUUAAGUUGACAGCUUAUUCAUUGAAUUAUUUGCAUUCGGACUCAUGGAAAGUAGUCUUUAGUCUUGAUUGGCCAGGCCUCAUUAGCAGCAUGUUUCGCAUCGGUGUAUAUCGAUGGGGUUGAGUAAAGGGCAUGAACCCGGCCAUCCUGAAGAAGCAUUAUCUAGAAGUACCAUUAAUAUUUCAAAAAAUUCUAAACACACAAAUGCUUAACAAAAUAAGUUUUAUUUAAUUUAGAUUCAGUCAAAUUUAGCAGGCCAAGCUGGAAGAUAGUACAUAGUUAGAAAUCAAUACUUAAGUAAAAAAAGUGAUGAAUUAAGGAAAUCUUUGAUGAUAUUAACUUGAUUAACAUAGUGAAUAGACUUAUCCAAUUGGCAAAACCAGGUAUGUGCAUAUUGGUACUUGAAAUCUGUACUUGCAUAUUCUAAACAAGACACUUAGUCGAGCAUUAUUACUAAUUAAUUUUUAUUGUCUUUCAGAUUUUUCAACUCUAAUAAUCUAUUUGAAUCAUCCAACCAUUCCAAUCCAAUUCAUAAGAAUCGAAAACAAAGCCAGAAAUAACAGUGUCAACAAUAGUGAACAGCAUCUUCGACUGGGACAAAAUUGGAGUAGCUAAAGUAUGAUACUUUAGCAACACGAAAAACAGAGGUCGAUAGAAGAAAAACACCAAUCCAGAAAAACAGAUUCAACAAUCUAUACAAUCCUAAUUUGUCAAAAAAUUGGGGUAUAAAAUAAUAAUUUAUUACUGAUUAAGUAAUAUUAAUAUCAGUAUAAUAAAUGAAAAUAAAAAAAGGUUUCCAUAUAGGCAUGAAUGCAUUUGUUGCUCGCUUAAUAAACUACCAUAAUUAUACACACAGAAAUUCAGAGUGACAUACUAUAUAGCUUUCAAAAUUAGAAUGAACCACUAUAACUGAAUUGCAUAUGGAAAGAAGACGGUGAUAGAUUACAAUUACGUUGAUUGCUCCUUCUCCUAUAUUCAGUUUGAGUUUUUUAUUAGGUAGACUAAUAGGUGCAAUCUCAUUCUUCUUUGCUUUUGUGACCUUCACUAACUUUGCAUUUUUAGCAGGAAAAGUUUCCUCCUGCCACAACAUAUAUAAUAGAACAAUUAAGUAUAUGGACAGAAUAGUAACUGUUUACAUGACUACUUAUGAUCUGAGUAUCACACAAAACUCUAAAAUAGUUGUGCUAAAUAAAAUAUGAUUUACAACAAGAAAAAAAUUUAGCUCAGUCAUCAUUUCAGCAACAAAUUCAACUUUCAUAAAAAAAUUAAAGGCAUAGUGAUGAUUUACAGUAAUGAAAUUGAAAAAAUAAAGAAUAUGGCCGAAGGAAGCUCACCUCCAGGCACCAACUAGAUGAUGGUUCCGUCUCCCGGCGACGGCAGAAACCAACUCCUUCUCCUCAUCGCGUUCUGGUCCUCUCCGAUGGCAGUGAUAGAUCUGGCAGCGACAGGAGUCACAAUGCGCAAAAUGGAGGAACCAACGGCAGCGAUAGUGGCUGGAACGAACGGCGACGGCAACGGACCUUCAGCGGCAGUGACGGCACAUGCAGUGGCAGCUCGCGGUGAUGAUGGCGACGCGGACCUCCACAACGACGAUGGAACGGGACGUGACGGCAGCUCCCUCCUCCUCGUGCUUGCGCUCUUUCUCUCUCUCUCCUCGACGGCCACGCUGGGACGACAACACGCAUUCGGCAGCGGUGAGACGAAAACGCGUGGCUUCACGGACGGUGAGGCGCGACGCCGGCGCGGGACAGUCCUCUCCCCUCUUCUCUUCUUCCUUCCGUCGUAGCCCACUCUCUUCCCUCUUCUCUCUUCCCUUUGUUUCUUUCUUAUUUCGUGUGUGUGUGCAGCUCGGAAGAAGAAAUGUC